GGCCUGCCGUGGGUAUUUGCAUAUCUUUGCUCUUCCUGCUGUUGGGAUUUAUGGACAAUUAAACUGGUUUCUUCCGCUGCAUAGAUCAAAGAAAGACUUAUUCAGAAAACAAAUACUUUUUCUAGUGCUGCUGGGUUAAGUGCUGCCUCCAAGGCCUCCCUGAGGCAGUUUAUGGCCUUCUGGUUCAGACUAGACUUGCACGCAACCAUAGAAUAAACCAGUACUUGGAGUGACUCAUGGCUUGGUAGGCAAGCAUGCUUAUAUCUCAGAAUAGCCACAGCCUCACAGCAGUGGAGGCAAAUACUUGAAAUGAGCUGUGGUAGGUGGUAGUUUUCUAUCCCUGUCACCAUCAACAUGUUUCUCAAAAAUUUGAACUUUUUUUUUGGAUAAUGAACAUGAAAAAAAGGCUUGAAACCAAAUUAUCAAGUAUCACGUGGCAAAAAAUCUGCUUAAUGUUUUUCAUUUAUUGCUAUGCUAAGAAUCCUUAAAAAAAAUCAACGUAUUGAUGAUUGCAGAUACUUCUUGCUGUUUAUCACAGCUAAGCCUUUUGAUUCCUCUGCCUUUUACAAUCGACAAGACUAGGAACUGAAUGAAACCAGAUUGCGAACAAAUCAGCCUGAUACUAGCAACAGAAAUAACUUCUCCCAGUGGUUAUGUCUUCUUCACAAUGAAGUGAACAGGAAACUGGGCAAAUCUGAAUUUGACUGCUCUCGUGUGGAUGAGCGCUGGCGAGAUGGUUGGAAAGAUGGUAGUUGUGAUUAAUUCAUAGGGGACUGCUUUGGAAAUCCAACAGAUUCACUCUGGUGUUGAAUCACUACGUAGAGAUGUGCAAGUAAAUAUGUGUGAGUAUGUGUGUGCAUGACUGAGAUGGCUUGUGGAAAUAAAGGUGGAACCAAUUCUGAAAGCCAAUUUGAAAAUCUUAUGCUAAUAGCACCUUGAUAAAUGGUCAUAUCAAAUGCAUUGUCCAAGGAACUGAGGCCUUACAGGUGGCACAGAAAUUGCCAGAAAUGUGUUAAACUGAGUUACUUGACAAACCUGUGGAUACUUUUUCAUUACAUUUCCUUAUAUUAUAGAGGCAUUUGCUUGUAUCUUUGACUUGAAUUCAUGUUCCUUGCACACAGUUGUAGAGAGCUACCCUAUGACAUUUCAUGCUUAUUUGUAGUUAAUAACCUGAUGUGUUUGAAAUUUCAGUGUCAUUUUAACUUCUUUUGUUCUGAUAGGGCAAAUUCCUGCUGUCUAUAUCCCUUAAACAUUUUUAGAGAUCUCUGAUGCUUGUUGUUAGACUUGCUAAAAGACCUGAAAGCAGGUACGUUUAAUGUAAAUGCUAAAAUCAUGGAACCUUGAUUUCUCUUUUUUUUUUGUAUGUGUUUCAGUUUAUCAUGUAAGAGGGUAGAAAAAGGAGACUAGAACAGGACCAAAAUAAUUAUCAUGAAGUAUCAGCUGGUUUCAAUUCAGAUGUUUUAAAUUGAUUCCUCUUUUUCUUUCAAUUCAGAAGCAAUAUGACAAGUUCUACCGAGCUAUUUGCUUUUAAAACUGGUAACUUUUCAUCUCUGCUAUGAAUUUUUGUCAAUUGUGGAGAUUGCUGUAAUGUUCUGAGACUGAUAUCUGUAAUGAAGCAUAUUCAGAUUUGUUUAGCAUACAGUGUUUCUGAGGCAUCGUUUGUGUUUUGAAAUUCAUGAUCAUUACUUACUGAUUUGGUUGAUAUUUUGGUGUUUUUACCUAGAUAAAAAUCUCUCUGGAACAAAAGAGCUUUAAAUACCCUUACAGUAUUUGAGUCUUCCUUAAGACUGAUGUCAGCUUUAGAUAGAAUUAUUGCACAGAAGACUCAAAGGAUUCCCUCUGUAGAAACUGAUCUGUUCUAUUAGCAUUUUCCCUAUGCCAGCUAUAUUGCUUCAUUGUUACUGAUACAUAAGUGUGAAUUUCAGUUUCAAGUGAAAUAGCAGCAUAAAUGACUUAAUGAGUAUAAAUGCAUUUUUCUAUAGAACCACACGCACAAAGAAGUCUAAAUACUUUCAAACUCUUAAAAUAUAUAGUCAUAUUAUGUCCUUACUGCAUUUUUGUCUGGGAAAGUUUGCAGGAGUUUGCAAAAAUUGUGAUAAUAGGGAGCUUUUUCUUCUGUACUUCCUGCUGAGCUUUUCCUUGCGUGUUUUAGUAAGCUUCCUUAUUUUGUGCACUACAGUGGGUUUGUAAAUUUACUUUUGAUAGAAUGAGAGGUUCGUGGAAAUGGUAAUAGUUCUUUUAUAACAGUACUAGGGUGCUGAUAGCCUGUAUCUGAGAACUUUGAUCUCCAAACCUUCAUGUGUGGAGCUCCUUACUGUUUAGAAAAGCAAUCAGAACUUUGGAAAUAUGUUUGAAUGUUUUACGGUGUACUAAAGCCUCUUCAAGUUGGACUUGUUAAAACAGUAAGACACAAAUUUUUAUGGACUGGUUAUUCUGGGAAGUUCUAUUUAUCAAUGCUCCUAAACACAAAACCAACAGAACUGGUAAGUGUUAUAUGAAGUAUGCAGUCUGACUUCCUAUCUCAUGGUGUUAUGUGGGCUAUUAAAAGUGCUCAGAAACUAUUACUAUAAACUCAGAAACAUCACCUACUGGCAUGUUGAUGUUCUUAGAAUAAAUAAAUUCAGCCCUUAGUUCUUGUUUUUUUGUUUAUAAAAAUAAAAAAAAACAACAAAUAAAAUUCCCCAAAUACAUAGCCACUAGUGGGGUGAAGACCAAGAAAAAGGCUGUACCCUUCCCUUUGUCAGGGAUGGCUUAAGUUGCCCAGUUCUGUCACAGUUUUAGCACCUGGGGGUGUUGACAAGCAUUUUCUUCUGCACUUGGUUGUGCAGAGGGAGAGACUUGCUAUUCUUCCUUUCUAAUUUGCCCUCCACUACUCUGUGACAGAUCUGUUGCCCAUGGACCAGAUUAUGAGAUUUCUCAUUAAUUUGCAUCAGCAUAAAUGAGCAGGUUGAUUAAAGCAACUGCCUUGUCCCAUUUCAUAUUAAUACUAAGAAUGAGCUAGGCCAGAGAAUUAUAGCAAGUGUGCUUGAUCUUUGCUGGUAAAUCCUUGGACCUGCUGUUGCCUUGUGCUGGCCAGCAGCUGGUGAUUUGCAGGAGGGCUGAUGCUUCUGUCCAUGUCUUAACUGUGUGGGGAGGAAAAAAAAUUAAAAAUUGUGUAUCCCUCUCAAAAUCAGGAGGGUGGCUAUGACAACACAGAACCUUUGUUUCCUUGUGUUGUGCAAGGAAAAGCUCCUUCUGCCAGCAGGUACUGCUUUGUUCUGACAGUGGUGCAGAGAAGGAGGAAUUGCAUUAAAGCUGAAGCCAUCAUUUUCAGUGGAUGAGUCCAUACAAUGAGGGCACAAGCUCUGGCUGCCAAGAUGUUAUUAGGGCUGUUUGUAACUAAAUUUGUUUGUUUGUUGCUAAAUGACCAUUUGGUUAAAGUUUAUGCUUACUCUAUGUUCUCUCAUAUUUGUGGCUCUGCAGAAGAGCUGUGACUUACUGUUUCUCAGACAUAGCAUCUCUGUGGACUUGACUGUCCAAGGGAGGAUAUUUUGCUGCUCGUUUAUAGCACAUUCAGUGUUUUAAUUGUAUGUGUGGAAUUUCUAUUGAAGGUUUGUGUACAUAAAAAGAAGGGGAAAAUAUAAAUUCUAAAUGCACUUGAUUAAACCUAGUUUUAAAAAUAACUGUAUUCAAAUUAUAUUUCCUGUCAGUGUGAAAAUAAUAAAGCAAUUGAGUUUA